UACGUAGGGACCAAGCGUUGUUCGGAUUUACUGGGCGUAAAGGGCGCGUAGGCGGCGUGGUAAGUCACUUGUGAAAUCUCCGAGCUUAACUCGGAACGGUCAAGUGAUACUGCUGUGCUAGAGUGCAGAAGGGGCAAUCGGAAUUCUUGGUGUAGCGGUGAAAUGCGUAGAUAUCAGGAGGAACACCGGUGGCGAAGGCGGGUCUCUGGGCCGUAACUGACGCUGAGGAGCGAAAGCGUGGGGAGCGAACAGG
rnacentral:rRNA from 1 species